CUUCGUUAAGUUAAAAUAUUUUUUCUAAUAAAGUCCAUGUAAUUGUGUCUGUUGUUAUCUGUACAAAAUAUUGUGUUGUUUAAUCACAGAACAUUUAAGUGAAUUAGGAUAAAAAUGCUUCUUACAUCCAGAAGGUGGCAGUAAUGCAACGCCAGCUGCUGUAAAACCCCCAAGAAGAAGAAGAAGAUUAGGACGCUUCAGACUGCACAUAUGCAAAGCCACUUGCCUGCUUUUAGUUUACCUUCAAAUCUUCCCUGAGUUCAUUUUGGCAGACAAGUUGCUGUUGGUCUUCGUUUUCUGAGUUGGAAGAGAUGAUCACUCUUUGGACUAAGUUGGACAUGGUAGUGAUGUGACCAUCUUCCCAGACGUCACCAAUUACUUAUGAUGUUAUAGUGUGGAUGCUGACGAGGUGGGCCACACAGAGUGGAAGGGAAGAAGGAGGAGAAGAGGAAGGCCGUCUCCCCCUGACCAACCACAAAUAUCCCCUCCAGGACCAGGAAGAAUACCCCUUUCUGAUGUAAGCCAGGUGAACCUGUUUGUGAUUGUGGACAGGAACUGCCAUGAUACAUGUUAUAUUUAGGGAUAUGCAUUGGCAGGGAAAACAAUGACAAAUCCUGGCCAAAAACGCCCAUGGACACUGCCCAAAAAAUGGGCAUAAGACAAGAAGCUAGAAUCUUCAAACCACUUCUAGAACAAUCCAAACAAAUGUAUGCAACUGUCUAUGUCGAGUUUUUAUUUUGUCAUUAUGGUUUGCAGUGCUGUUUUAAAUAAAAUUAGUAAAAAUUCAAGUUCCAUUUUUUUUUUUAUGGGUUAAUAUCCCCCAUGAUAGUGAAUAGAAGUCUUUAUUGAGUGAUGUAUAUCAUACCUGAUUCUGGAAAUGAAACUUGAUAAUAGUGUAAAAACUUUAUAAGGCAAAACACAAAGAAAUGCAGGCUCUAAGCUAUUCUAGCAGUAAGCAUCAAGUGCCAUACAUCAUUAGAUUCAGGAGAACCUGAGGUUUCAGUCUGAUUCAUUCAGACCCAAUUUUACAUUUGCUCUGUCUGAGAAUAGAUGAAUUUACUAGAAUUUUUUUCAACAUCAUUAUAAAUGUGAUGUUUUUUUACUGUGAACUCAGGCCGAACCUCAGGAAUUUUAUGUUUUU